GGUGAAAUUGCUAGGUCAUUUGGUAAUCCUACAAUCAACCUUUUGAAGAACUGCUAAACUGUUUUCCACAGUAGUUAUACCAUGUUACACUUCUACCAACAAU
rnacentral:pre_miRNA from 1 species